GAUGAAGAACGCAGCAAAAUGCGAUAAGUAAUGUGAAUUGCAGAAUUCAGUGAAUCAUCGAAUCUUUGAACGCACAUUGCGCCCGCCAGUAUUCUGGCGGGCAUGCCUGUUCGAGCGUCAUUUCAACCCUCAAGCUCAGCUUGGUGUUGGGACUCGCGGUAACCCGCGUUCCCCAAAUCGAUUGGCGGUCACGUCGAGCUUCCAUAGCGUAGUAAUCAUACACCUCGUUACUGGUAAUCGUCGCGGCCACGCCGUUAAACCCCAACUUCUGAAUGUUGACCUCGGAUCAGGUAGGAAUACCCGCUGAACUUAAGCAUAUCAAUAAGCGGAGGA
rnacentral:misc_RNA from 1 species